UACGUAGGGUGCGAGCGUUGUCCGGAAUUACUGGGCGUAAAGAGCUCGUAGGUGGUUUGUCGCGUUGUUCGUGAAAACUCACAGCUCAACUGUGGGCGUGCGGGCGAUACGGGCAGACUGGAGUACUGCAGGGGAGACUGGAAUUCCUGGUGUAGCGGUGGAAUGCGCAGAUAUCAGGAGGAACACCGGUGGCGAAGGCGGGUCUCUGGGCCUUACCUGACGCUGAGGAGCGAAAGCGUGGGGAGCAAACAGG
rnacentral:rRNA from 1 species